rnacentral:lncRNA from 1 species
AAAAAGACAAAAAAAAAAAAAAGCUUUCAUUAUUAAAUCCAAAAUAAUGUCAUUAGCAUCACUAGGCACUUAAUUUUUAAAAACUAACUAAAAUAACACCAAAAUCAACAUCGAGAAAGGAGGAAAGGGUAACAUUAAAAGCAGAUACUUGUGAACUACAAGUAAACAAGAGAAUUCUUUAAAAAAAUUUUUAGAUUUAUUUAUGUAUUUAUUUUUAUGAGAAUAUAGUUGAUUUACAGUGUUGUGCCAGUUUCUGCUGUACAGCAUAGGGACCCAGUCAUACAUAUAUAUGAGGUUGGUUGAAAAAGAAUGUAUAUAAAAUAGAAUUCUUCAUUAAACUUUGGAAGUAAUUCCAAGAGUCUAAUAAAUAAUGAGAAUACGACAACGUUAGAUGUCCAGAAAGACUUUUCGGAACAACAUAUAAAAUGCUGGAUAAAAUAUGGGACUUGACUUUUUAAAUACAUGGUUCAGCUGGCUAGGAAGAAAUACAAAUCUUAAAAGUCCAAUAAUAAUAAAUUUUUAAAAAGAACAAAUGCAGCAAGAUAAGUGAGACUUGUAGCGCCAUUUGCCCUCAGGACUUCUGUCCUCCUCUUGUGGCCUGGAGUGUGAUUUUUAAAGAAUUCCAUGUGUGAUGGGGACAAGACAGGUAAUCAGAAGACAAAAUCUAGAACACACAGAUGGGAGACCCUUGCAGAAAGCCAACCCCCGCAAGGGCACUGCCAUUCUUGGUAAACUGAAAUCUCACACACACACACACACACACACUCAGAGAAAGACAGACAAUAUGGAUUCUGAUCUCUCUUGCACUAGACUCGUGCUUAUGUGUGAAAAAAUAAUGACAAUAAAAACAAAGCAAAAGACAAGAGAUUUCACCCAGGGAAUCCUUCAUACCAAGUUUACCCUCACUGUAGGUUUAAACUACACUGACAGUUUCCCUCAAUAAUAAAACACAAAAUGUAAUGUGAAGUGUCCUGGAAUACUAGCCCCCUCCCCCACCACAAGCCACUGGAAGUAGCAAGUGAAUUUCUCUCUGGAGAAAUGCACCUUAAAUUCACACUUCAAAAAUUCCCACAGAUAAUACUUCACAAAACAUCAUCUUAUAAUCAUAAAUCACAGGAGCUAUGGGGAAAAAUCAAGCCACUGUAAUGAGAGGCAGAGAAACAGUGAAUCAUAUCCACAGGGAGUCGAGAUGCAGGAGUUAUCAGACAGGUAAUAUACAACUGAAUAUAUAAUUUACUUAAAACUAAAAGAAAGUGAUUUACGAUUCAGCGCAAUCCCUAUCAAAUCCCAAUGACUUUUUUUUGCAAAAAUAGAAAAAUGCUUCCUAAAAUUCAUGUGGAGUCUUGAGGGACCCUGAAAAGUCAAACACGAUCUUGAACAGGAAGACUGCAGUGGGAGGACUUCCAUGUCUUGAUGUCAGAACUUACUGCAAAGCUUCCAAAUCCAGCCAGUGAAAUCAAAAGAAUCAUUCACACUGACCAAAUAGGACUUAGCUUAAAAAUGCAAAGAUCACUUAGUAUAAGGAGAUCUAUUAAUGCAACAUUUCAAGUGAAUCUAUUUAAGAAGAAAAGAGGAAUAAUGACUUCAGUAGAGGAUGAAAAAAAAGUCAAUAACGUUGAAAGUACAUUCUGUAAUCCCAAAAUUUGUGGGGGGGUUUGCGGGGAGGGGAUUAAGAAUAGAGGUUUUUUUUUUUUAACAUAGUAAGACUUUAUAUUUGAGACUAACAACUAACAUUAUCUUCCGCAGUGAAAAACUAAAAAGAAUUCCUAUUAAGAUCACAGGCAAAAGCAAGCAAACAAGAUGCUCAUUGUGAUCGCUAGUAUGUAGCAUUGUUCUGAAAAUUCUCAGCAAUGCAAUUAGCACGAAACACCAAGAAGAAAUAUGAUUAUUGAAAAGACGACAAAAGUAUCACUUUGUACAAUGUUGCAAUUAUAUUCUUACAAAGCUCCUGUGAAUCAAUUUUAAAAAACAUAUCCUUCUGGUUCUGUAAAAUAACUUCAUCGAAGUUAUUGUUAAAAUCUGUUUGUUUUUUUUAAUGUACAUCAAUGAGAGAAUCCAUGAGAGAAUGACAAAUAAGAUAUUUUACCAUGAUAACCAAAAUACAAAAUUCCGAGAAAAAAAUUUUCUUGAAGAAUAGGUCAGAUCUAUGGGACAUGCUCCCAAAUUUUCUAGAAAGAACAAUAAACAUUUUUAAUAUACAAGCA